rnacentral:rRNA from 1 species
AGGCUAAAUACUCUCUAGUGACCGAUAGUGAACCAGUACCGUGAGGGAAAGGUGAAAAGUACCCCGGAAGGGGAGUGAAAGAGAACUUGAAACCGUGUGCUUACAAGUAGUCAGAGCCCGUUAAUGGGUGAUGGCGUGCCUUUUGUAGAAUGAACCGGCGAGUUACGAUCUGAUGCAAGGUUAAGCAGGAGAUGUGGAGCCGUAGCGAAAGCGAGUCUGAAUAGGGCGUUGAGUAUUUGGUCGUAGACCCGAAACCAGGUGAUCUACCCAUGGUCAGGUUGAAGUUCAGGUAACACUGAAUGGAGGACCGAACCGACUUACGUUGAAAAGUGAGCGGAUGAACUGUGGGUAGCGGAGAAAUUCCAAUCGAACUUGGAGAUAGCUGGUUCUCUCCGAAAUAGCUUUAGGGCUAGCCUCAAGUGAUGAUUAUUGGAGGUAGAGCACUGUUUGGACGAGGGGCCCCUCUCGGGUUACCGAAUUCAGACAAACUCCGAAUGCCAAUUAAUUUAACUUGGGAGUCAGAACAUGGGUGAUAAGGUCCGUGUUCGAAAGGGAAACAGCCCAGACCACCAGCUAAGGUCCCAAAAUAUAUGUUAAGUGGAAAAGGAUGUGGCGUUGCCCAGACAACUAGGAUGUUGGCUUAGAAGCAGCCAUCAUUUAAAGAGUGCGUAAUAGCUCACUAGUCGAGUGACACUGCGCCGAAAAUGUACCGGGGCUAAACAUAUUACCGAAGCUGUGGAUUGUCCGUAGGACAAUGGUAGGAGAGCGUUCUAAGGGCGUUGAAGCAUGAUCGCAAGGACAUGUGGAGCGCUUAGAAGUGAGAAUGCCGGUGUGAGUAGCGAAAGACGGGUGAGAAUCCCGUCCACCGAUUGACUAAGGUUUCCAGAGGAAGGCUCGUCCGCUCUGGGUUAGUCGGGUCCUAAGCUGAGGCCGACAGGCGUAGGCGAUGGAUAACAGGUUGAUAUUCCUGUACCACCUAGCAUCGUUUUAAUCGAUGGGGGG